CAAACACAGUCGCACACACAUGCUGGCUGUAUACAAAUACGUGCACACGCGUGUAUGUAUGUAGACUCGAAACAUGUUCAAGUUCACCAAUGUCGACAACAGUCUGUUUUCUCUUAAGUAUUGAAGGCCGAGUGGAUCGCUGCGGCCGCUGUUGCCAAAAUUACUCACCUCGGGAAUGCGUUGCAGGGCGCUGUCGAGACUACGGUUGCGAUUAUGUUGCGUGUGAUUGAUGCGUGUGCUGCUUAGCUGAGCAACAGGCGCCAGCAAUAUGCCCAUCGAUCUACAAAGGUUUCGUCAGCAUUUGCGUUGUCAGCAGGUGUACAAGUGCAAUCAAUGCAAAACAAUAUGCGAGCGAGCGAGCACAAACACAAAAAGUACACAAGUCUGCAAACAUAUGAGCACUCACCACACAUCUACAUACCUACAUAUGCAUGUGUAGAUAGGAAUGUUAACGUAAUUACUGUCUUUCUACGAUUUCCUGCGUGCAGUGGAGAGCUAAGCUGAGCAAGUGAAAUUAACAAUGUUUAGAAGGUAAAUAACAAAACACAAAGCAUAAUAAAAAAUUACAAUAAGAGGAAAAAAAAACCACGCAAGAGCCAAUGACGGCGAGAGCAACAGGUGCUCGUAAUACGAAUAGAUA